UACGUAGGCAGCAAGCGUUGUUCGGAAUUACUGGGCGUAAAGCGUGCGUAGGCGGUUUGUUAAGUCUGUUGUGAAAUCCCCGGGCUCAACCUGGGAAUGGCAAUGGAUACUGGCAAGCUAGAGUGUGUCAGAGGAUGGUGGAAUUCCCGGUGUAGCGGUGAAAUGCGUAGAGAUCGGGAGGAACAUCAGUGGCGAAGGCGGCCAUCUGGGACAACACUGACGCUGAGGCACGAAAGCGUGGGGAGCAAACAGG
rnacentral:rRNA from 1 species